AUUGAACGCUGGCGGCAUGCCUUACACAUGCAAGUCGAACGGCAGCACGGGAGCAAUCCUGGUGGCGAGUGGCGAACGGGUGAGUAAUAUAUCGGAACGUGCCCGGUCGUGGGGAUAACGUAGCGAAAGCUACGCUAAUACCGCAUACGAUCUACGGAUGAAAGCGGGGGAUCGCAAGACCUCGCGCGAUUGGAGCGGCCGAUAUCAGAUUAGGUAGUUGGUGAGGUAAAGGCUCACCAAGCCGACGAUCUGUAGCUGGUCUGAGAGGACGACCAGCCACACUGGGACUGAGACACGGCCCAGACUCCUACGGGAGGCAGCAGUGGGGAAUUUUGGACAAUGGGCGCAAGCCUGAUCCAGCAAUGCCGCGUGCAGGAUGAAGGCCUUCGGUUGU
rnacentral:rRNA from 1 species